UACGUAGGGUGCAAGCGUUGUCCGGAAUUAUUGGGCGUAAAGAGCUCGUAGGCGGUUUGUCGCGUCUGCUGUGAAAACUCGGGGCUUAACCCCGGGCCUGCAGUGGGUACGGGCAGACUAGAGUGCGGUAGGGGAGACUGGAAUUCCUGGUGCAGCGGUGAAAUGCGCAGAUAUCAGGAGGAACACCGGUGGCGAAGGCGGGUCUCUGGGCCGUAACUGACGCUGAGGAGCGAAAGCAUGGGGAGCGAACAGG
rnacentral:rRNA from 1 species